UGCAAUACAAUAUUACAGAUAUAGAAAUUCCAAGACAAGAAUUAUUGCUUCUGUUUAUACUUCACUUUACAAACCCCUAUUUUUCUAUCUAUCUACCAACAUUAAAAAAAAAAAGGAAUAGUGUAUGUGUGUGAAGAAAAUCUGCAGAUAUCCUUUAAGCAUGCUCAAGCAUGCUCAGCCAUCUAUUGACAUUUUUUCUUUGACUCCAGCUCCACGCCUUUGAAAUAUUCUUCUUUGACUCCAGCUCCAGCAGCAUAUUUGCAAAAUUUUCACACCCGAACACCUUCAUGUGGUUUCAGAUUUCAGCAGC
rnacentral:lncRNA from 1 species